UACGUAGGUCCCAAGCGUUGUCCGGAUUUAUUGGGCGUAAAGCGAGCGCAGGUGGUUUAUUAAGUCUGGUGUAAAAGGCAGUGGCUCAACCAUUGUAUGCAUUGGAAACUGGUAGACUUGAGUGCAGGAGAGGAGAGUGGAAUUCCAUGUGUAGCGGUGAAAUGCGUAGAUAUAUGGAGGAACACCGGUGGCGAAAGCGGCUCUCUGGCCUGUAACUGACACUGAGGCUCGAAAGCGUGGGGAGCAAACAGG
rnacentral:rRNA from 1 species